AAUUUCAAUGGCGUUGUGUCUUCUUUUCUCUAAGAACUUUCAUAAACCAAGUCGUACUUAACCGCGCUAGGUAACCCUGCUAACUUUGUCGCAGAGGGAAAAAAGUAGAAUCGAAGGGAAAAAUCACGAAAAUUAACUGGGCUGAAUAGAAU
rnacentral:snRNA from 1 species